CCUACGGGUGACAGCAGUGAGGAAUAUUGGUCAAUGGGCGCGAGCCUGAACCAGCCAAGUCGCGUGAGGGAAGACGGUCCUAUGGAUUGUAAACCUCUUUUGUCGGGGAGCAAAAGACGCCACGCGUGGCGUUCCGAGAGUACCCGAAGAAAAAGCAUCGGCUAACUCCGUGCCAGCAGCCGCGGUAAUACGGAGGAUGCGAGCGUUAUCCGGAUUUAUUGGGUUUAAAGGGUGCGCAGGCGGAAGAUCAAGUCAGCGGUAAAAUUGAGAGGCUCAACCUCUUCGAGCCGUUGAAACUGGUGUUCUUGAGUGAGCGAGAAGUAUGCGGAAUGCGAGGUGUAGCGGUGAAAUGCAUAGAUAUCACGCAGAACUCCGAUUGCGAAGGCAGCAUACCGGCGCUCAACUGACGCUCAUGCACGAAAGUGUGGGUAUCGAACAGGAUUAGAUACCCGGGUAGUC
rnacentral:rRNA from 1 species